GACGGGGGGGGGGGGAAGUGUUCUUCGGAAUGACUGGGCGUAAAGGGCACGGUAGGCGGUGAAUCGGGUUGAAAGUGAAAGUCGCCAAAAAGUGGCGGAAUGCUCUCGAAACCAAUUCACUUGAGUGAGACAGAGGAGAGUGGAAUUUCGUGUGUAGGGGUGAAUCCGUAGAUCGUACGAAAGGAACGCCAAAAGCAAAGGCAACUCUCUGGGUCCCUAACCAAUGCUGGGGUGCGAAAGCAUGAGGAUUGAACAAG
rnacentral:rRNA from 1 species